CCUGACUCAGCCGCAGACAUUAGUGCUAGGAAGAUGGCGCACCCGGCGAUGUUUCCUAGAAGGGGCAGCAGCAGUAGCAGCGGCAGCAGCUGCGUUACUGCUCCCACUGCACCAGGUACCGGCGUUGGGAGCGCUGCCCUCUCCGCCGAGGAUUAUCAGCCGCCUUUGCUGGUCCAGCCGCCCCCUCCAUCUCCUGCAGCAGCUUCAACAGUGGGUCCACAGCCGACACCCCCUCAUCCACAAAGCCUGAACCUCCUCUCGCAGUCUCAGCUCCAGCCACAGCCCCUUGCACAGACUGGAGCUCAAAUGAAAAAGAAAAGUGGCUUUCAAAUUACCAGUGUGACCCCUGCCCAAAUAUCAGCUAGUAUGAGCUCUAAUAACAGCAUAGCUGAGGAUACAGAAAGCUACGAUGACCUGGAUGAGUCUCACACUGAAGACCUGUCAUCUUCAGAAAUCUUGGAUGUGUCGUUAUCCAGAGCCACUGACUUGGGAGAACCUGAGAGGAGUUCUUCUGAAGAAACUCUAAAUAACUUCCAAGAGGCAGAGACUCCUGGGGCUGUUUCUCCAAAUCAGCCUCAUCUUCCUCAGCAGCAUGCUCCUCUGUCUCAUCAUCCACAGCAGAGUGUUGUGAUCAAUGGAAGUGUUCAUCCCCAUCAUGUUCAUCAUCACCACCAUCUUCACCACCACCAUCAUGGACACCAUCAUCCAUCGCAUCCUGGGGUGGGUAGUGCCCCAAUUUCUGGAGGACCACCACCCAGUCCUUCGUUUAGAAAACUAUCAACAACUGGAAGCUCUGACAGUGUUAUAUCAACUGCACCAGUUUCUGCUGCAUCAUCCACUGGUUCCCCGGCAUCUGCCGUGUCUAAUAUCCGCACUACGAGUACUCCUGGCAAUUUAGGUAUAAGUCCUGCUGCUGGAGCUAGUACCUUAAGUAAUAUUGGUGGUGGUAGUUCUAGUGUGGCAAGCAAUGUGCUUGGUACUAUCAAUUUAAGCAACAUCAUGAGUACUGGUAAUGUAAAUGCUUUGUCUGGAACUAGCAGCAAUGCUAAUGUGAAUAUCUUGAGUGGUGUUGGCAAUGGUACGAGUGCUUCCUCUAGUGUCAUUAACAAUGUUACUAAUCCAACUGCAGGAAUGGCAGUGGGAUCAAGCCAGCAGCAGCCUGCAUCUGGCACAUCAAGGUUUAGAGUUGUAAAAUUAGAUUCUAGUUCUGAACCUUUCAAAAAAGGUAGAUGGACAUGCACUGAAUUCUAUGAUAAAGAAAACACUGUUGCAGUUUCGGAGGGAGUAGCAGUAAACAAAGCAGUAGAGACGAUAAAACAAAACCCGCUUGAAGUGACUUCUGAAAGGGAGAGCACCAGUGGGAGUUCUGUUAGCAGCAAUGUAAGCACACUGAGUCACUAUACAGAAAGUGUGGGAAGUGGAGAAAUGGGAGCACCUACUGUGGUACAGCAGCAAGCAUUUCAAGGUGUGGGUCCGCAGCAGAUGGAUUUUAGCAGCGCUGCUCCUCCAGCAAUUCCAGCAUCUAGUAUACCACAGAGUGUUUCUCAAUCACAGCUUGCACAAGUCCAGCUGCAUUCUCAAGAAGGAAACUAUCCACAGCAGAAGCCAGGGGUCCAACCUCCUGCACAGGCCAGUCUAACCACUGUUACUGGGGUUCAGCCAGCCCCAGUUAAUAUACUAGGUGUAUCCCCAUCUCUGGGCCACCAGCAACCUGCUCUUCAGAGUAUGGCUCAACAGCAGCUGCCGUAUUCACAGCCAGCACAGCCUGUGCAGACUUUGCCAGUGGUGCAGCAGCAGCAGUUGCAGUACGGACAACAGCAGCAGCAGCCAGUUCCUACGCAGAUGGCCGCGGGUCACGUUAAGCCGGUGAACCAGAACUCUGUCACAGGGGCUAUGCCAGACUACAUUCAACAUCAGCAGAUCCUUCAGACUCCAGCCCCUGCCAUGCAACCAAGUUCUACAGGAGUAGGAGCUGGGCAACCGGUUCCUGUUGCCCAGGCACAGGGCAUGCAGCCUUCAGUGCAAGCACAUCCAGCUGCUGCCCCAGCUCAGCCUGUUGCACAUGCUCCAGCAGCGAUACCAGGUGUAGCUGCCGGUGGUCAAAUACUAAAUGUUGGGCAGCAAGGAAGCGUGUCUGCUGUGGUGCAACCACCAUCUGCUACAAACCAAAUUCCACCUCCAGUUAUGCCAUCAACGGCUGCUCCUCCAUCUUCCCAAGUAGUGCAGCCUGUGCAGACAGGAAUAAUGCAGCAGGGAUUGCAGGCUAGCGCUGCAGGCCUUCCUCAACAAAUGGUCAUUGCUCAGCAAAACACCUUGUUACCUGUACAGCCACAGGCACAAGGAGUAGAAUCUGUAGUCCAAGGGAUGACUGGCCAGCAGCUGCCUGCGGUAAGCCCUAUACCCUCUGCCAGUGCUGUUCCUGCACCGAGUCAAGCUGGUUCAGCUGUGCCUCCUGGCAUACCUUCUGCUUCUGUAGGUUUGGGACAGCCACAGAGCAUAGCACAGGCUUCAGCUGUGCAGAAUGGCAAUUUGGCUCAAAGUGUUAGUCAGCCUCCCUUGAUAUCAACAAGUAUAGGUAUGCCAGUGGCACAGAGUGUGCCGCAACAGAUGCCACUAAGCUCUACCCAGUUCCCUGCACAAUCACUAGCUCAGUCCAUUGUAAGCCAAAUCGAAGACGGCAGACGGCCUACAGAACCUUCCUUGGUGGGUUUACCUCAAGCUGCCAGCGUUGAGAGCGGUGGUGGAACAUCGGCCGCUUCAGACGGCGGUAGCAGCAACAUGCCAUCCUCGGCGUCCCUCUUCCCGCUGAAGGUGCUGCCGUUGACAACGCCUCUUGUAGAUGGUGAGGAUGAGAGAUACAGAAUGACAGUCAAACACUACACACUGGUAUGCCUAUGAAGAGGCACUGCCAAAGUUAAUUGUGUCUAGUGCAAAAGCUUGGAGUUCUGGCUGAUCAAAGCAGUCUUUCUGCCUCCCUAUCCUGGAAGUAUGGAGUCCCUGCCUCAGCCUACGGCUUCAUUCUUUUUCCAGCUGCCCACAAAAGUAAAGAACCAGUGUGAGAGUUUGAAGAAAGAAUCCACUCAGAGGACUGAGUCUCAAGCAAAAGCUCCAGGUUGCAGACUCAGAAAGAAACUUCCUUUGGGGAAGGAUCUGCUUCCAGGAUUUGCUCGUCUCUUUUUCCUUGGGCAAACAGUUCUUGAAGCAAUCAACAGGGUUGCAGGAUACCUUCUAACCUUUAUACUGCAUCACAAGCCUUCGGCAGAAGAUCUUAUGUUGAUGGAAGAUGACUGGGUUUGGAUCUUGGCCUUCCCUAAGCAGGAUCUCCUGGCAAAAAAUGGGAUUGGGAAAGAAAUGACUCCUUUUUCCAUCACACAGAACCACCCUAGAAAUGGAGGCCUAGGCAGAAAAUUGCUCCUAAUGCAUCGUUCUGUAGGAAAUGUGUUUAGCCUCCCACGGUCCUUUUGUUACGAUGUCAUAUAGAUAUCCUUUAUAAAAUCUAAACCUGGCAUCUUCCUAUCUGAAGAUCAAGUCAAUGAAUCCAACAUUAAGAGUUUACAGAUUUAAUAAUGUGGUCGGGUCUUGCUGUCCCUUGCAUAGGAGAUGCCACGUGAAUCUGUGAAAGAGGGUUCUGCUGUGGUUCAGACUGUUAUAUUUGUAACGCCUUUUCUACUUACAUUAAAGUAAUUAGAAAUAAUAAAGGUUCUUGUGAAAAUGGUAUUUAGACUUCUACCUUGCUGGGUUUACUUAAAAAUAAAUUUGACACAAAAUGUCAUAAUGGGCAAUAUGGAAAAUACUGCAUCUUUUGAGGUUUCCUGUGGCUUUGUGUCACAAAAAAGUGUGUUGGAACUGUUGAGAGCUGUAAAAGUGGAAAUCUUAGAUUUUUCUUUAAGAGUGAGAAGUUGUUUGUUAGAAAGUAGAAAGCUUUUAAUUGUUUUCCCCUUAAGGGAUUCUGUAGUCAAACUUAACUAAAUGUCUUGCAAGAUCUCAAAUAAAAACUUUUGUUUAGAGAUAGUGAGCAACACACACAUGCCUGUGUACUUGUGUUGUUCUCACUAUAGGAAAUUAGUUUUGAAGAGUGGGACCUACUUCUAAUGUUCAGAUUAGGAAAGGGGAAAGUUUUGUUCUGAAGCUGACUGUGAGAAUAGGAGGCAGGAAGGUGUACCAGACCCUCUGGCAGUAGGUGAAGAGCGCUUUCAUUUUUCUGUUUUCUGCUUCUGGCAGUUGAAGUAAACUAGCCAGAUGCUUGUACUUGAAUCCAAUUAAUUUUUUUAAUCAGUUACCACAAAACAUUGGUUUUUAACUAAUGUCUAGAUCUUUUGUUAAAUUUGCCAUCUUAUUUAAAUUACUUAAUAGCCUUAACGUAGACCUGAGGCUACUGCUUCAUGGCAGUUGUGACUUCUUACUAUUCUGGAAUGCAUUGCAGUCCUAGUACAUUCUAAAAAUAAUUGUUCAGAUGGUGCUGUUUAAGUACAUACUUAUGUAGUGAGCCAUUUUUGCUGGACUUUUUGAAAUUGGCUUUCUGUUGGAUGGCUUUUUAAUAUCUUAUUUUGCUGUCAUUAUCAAACUUGUUUAUCUUGCUGCUUCUGUGGUUAUUGAGUAAAGCGCUGAAUUUAUAACCUGGUAUUUUUAGAGAACUGAUAAGUCACAUGCCUGUUUUAAAACUAUGCAAGCACAGUAACGCUUGUUAACUUUGAAGUUUAAAAAUAAAUCGGUUUAAUGUAUCAAAUUCAAUCAUAUUAUAAUAUGUGGAAAUAUGUAUGUGAUGAACUUAAAAAGGAGUAGUUGUUACAGGUAUAGACAUUAAUUGUGUACUGAACAGAAGUAAUCUAGACAUGAAUAGCUGAAGAUGUGUGGGUCUCAGAAAUUAAUUCUAACAUCUGUGACUAGAGUUCUGUGCCAGCAGUGCUUUUAGUUCAAAAUACCCGUUUUUCAAAUUUCUAGUCCAUUUAAGGUCUGAUAUCCUUUGUGCCUUAAUAGGUAUACUGACACUUGCCUCAGACAGAAUUUUUGGUCAUUUUGUUCUGUAGUAGGUAAAUUUAGGACUGUCAAAUACUUAUGAAACAGGCACUGAGAACUGUUUAUGUUACUGUCUCAGUUCCUAAAAUGGCUUAACUUCUCCCCAUCACAAUUAGGAAACAAAACCACUAAAACAAAAGCAAAAACCAAACUAAAAAGCCUGUUGCGAUUCUACCGUCAGUAUUUUGAUACUUGUCUAUCACCGUUGCUUUAGCGUGUUUCUGUCAUGCUCUGAGUUUUACAGCUGGAAUCUUGGGUUCUUGAUACCUCCUUAGAACAAUAACUCCUGCCUUUGUGUUAUUAAAUAAUAAAGAUAUCUGAA